GACACACCUAUAAUUUAUAGUCCUCGUGUACAAUGUUUUAGAUCUUGUUUUAUUUUUAUUUGUAGAUUAUGUCAUUUUUUUAUGUUAUUUUAAUUAUAUAAAAUAUAAUAUCAGUUUUUAAAUCUAACAAAUUCAUUUUAAAUAAACUGUUUUCUUUAUUUUUCAAAUCGAUUAGCAUCCACACUUGGGUUAAUUUUAUAGACUAAAUUUCAACUUACAUUUGUAAAUCAUUAAUAACAUGUCAUUUUGAUCUGAGGGAAUACUAAAAAGGUUGAAUGUUGCUCAUCAUAAUUAAUAUGACUUCUAGACUUAUAAAUAUGACGACGGGUUUUCUAAGGUUUUCGCGUUUGUAAUUUAGGUUUGCUCUAUCGUCUAUGACAGAUUCAAUACUUUCUCGGUGGCUACUCUCCUGUUGUGCUUUCCAUCUUACUUUCGAAGACAAGUUCAUCAAAUCAGGACGUUGCUUAGCUUCUCGAUUGGCUCAGUCGGAAGCUUGUGGCGGGGAGAUCUGAUGUGAGAGUCGUCAUCCCAGUGUUUCGAUGGUUGUUUGAUAUUUGGAGCAGAUUGAUCUUUCUUUUUUUGCAGGAUUUAAAGCACUUUUUAUUGGAUUUGCCUUCUUCGCAACUCGUUUUUCUCAGUGGCUAUGUAUCGUCUGAUAGUCUUUCGGGUCAUUGAGCUAUAGCCGACAACCGAGAAAAUAAGGUGAACGCCAUCCUUUCGUGGCUACAAUCAACGGUUGAAAAUGUCAAGUGAUAAUCUAAAUAUUGUGGAGCCAUUGUUUAGCAGAACGCGCUGGUUUGGUUUGGUGUGGUUCGGUGGUUGAGCGAAACUAGCUGGGUUAAGUAUUGAAAUAGAUCGUUUUGUUCUACUCAGAUUUAUAAUUGACACUAACAUUUUCGAGUUUUGGGCUGAGAAAUAAAAGUAAAUAUUAAAAAUGAAAGAGAGUGAACUUUGGAUAUGAUAAAAAGAAUAUCCAAGCGUGGACCCAUUAUGAUCUCUCAGUCUCUUGCAUUACGUAGACCUCACAAACCGUGUAGUUGCUAUACCACGAGUAAAAUAUAGAGAAAUUGGUGUGGAUACAACCAAAAGCACGUAUAAUUUGGCAUAUCCUUUUAUUUUUUUAAAUAUUUUUUUAUGACUUUUAUAUUCUUAUCUCUAUCUCUCUUUCUCCCUUUUCUAUGUUCUAAUUAGGCCUGGACAUUUUAACCUAGACUCGAAGACCCGAACCGGAACCGACCCAAAAAUAUCCGAUCCGGACUCGGACCAAAAAUUUACAAGUACUUUUUGGGUCUAAAUUUUUUUUACCCGAAUGGACUUGGAACCGAAAGAAACCGAAAGGAACCAAAAAGAACCGAUCCGAAUAGACCCGGAUCCGAAAAGAACCGACCCGAAUAGACCCGACCCGAUAAGAACCGAUUUGUACCCGACUUAAAAACGUGUAUAUCUAAAACUAUAAUGUUUUUGUGUUCUAUUUUAUAUAUAUUAUUUUAUGAUUUAGUUGAAAUAUCUUUUGUCAACAAUAUUUGUUAUUAUUUUGUAAUAUUGUUUAAGUAAUAUGAACCUUUAAAAUGUAAAA